UACGUAGGGUGCAAGCGUUAAUCGGAAUUACUGGGCGUAAAGCGUGCGCAGGCGGUUAUGUAAGACAGUUGUGAAAUCCCCGGGCUCAACCUGGGAAUUGCAUCUGUGACUGCAUAGCUAGAGUACGGUAGAGGGGGAUGGAAUUCCGCGUGUAGCAGUGAAAUGCGUAGAGAUGUGGAGGAACACCGAUGGCGAAGGCAGCCCCCCUGGGUCAAGAUUGACGCUCAUGCACGAAAGCGUGGGGAGCAAACAGG
rnacentral:rRNA from 1 species